GGGGUUGUGGCUCAGUGGUAGAGCACUUUCCUGGCAUGCAUGAGGCACUGGGUUUAAUCCUCAGCACCA
rnacentral:tRNA from 1 species